UUUAAAUGGAGCUAGCUCGAUCUCAGCGGCUGGUUAGUGUAUUGACUGCAGGUUUCUCAUUUGGGAUGUGCUGUGCUUCGUUGGAAUUUUACGCUAAUUGUCGAGGCAUACCUCCACCUUAAUCGAUGCAUAUGGAUGAUGACCUCCUGUGGUAUGACCUCGGGUUCAUUCAGUUCCAUUCAAAAGGGCCAAGAGUGAACUGAACAUGACGGGCCCGUUCGUUUCACAUCCCAAUUUCCUCAGCAAACAAAUAAAGGGCGGGGUGGCCAGUCAUUAACCCUCAGUAUAUGGAGAAGAAUGCAGUGACGACUCCAAACCCGAGUCAUUCAUGAGCUGACACUGAGGGCCCAGGAGAACUGGCCCUUCUAGGAGGGCUGGAUGCGGUAAUGAGGCCCAGAUUCUUGCUCCCUCUUGCACUUCCUCUCAAUUGGUGGCCAGUCAGAACAAGUCAAGGUUAACAGUGCCAUCUACAGUAGAGUGGCUGCCUCUCUCCAACAGUGUGUUACAGGAAAUGAGGGGUUGAGAGAGCGGUACAGUACUCAGUCAUGAUGACCCAUCUCUAAAAGCAAGAGUGUGUUAUUACAGUUUUAUUAAAGUGAUAGCUAUGGUGUUUUCUACAACUUGGAAACCUAACUCUUCAGAUGGAGAUUGAAUUUGUAUAAUCGUGACAUCCUUUUCAGAGUCACACAAAUUCAAUGCAUUAUUUUGAAAUCAGGUCUCAGAUGUAUACUCCUGAGGUGCUGCACACUCGACAACCACUGUGAUUAUUAUUAUUUGACCAUGCUGGUCAUUUAUGAACAUUUGAACAUCUUGGCCAUGUUCUGUUAUAAUCUCCACCCGGCACAGCCAGAAGAGAACUGGCCACCCCUCAUAGCCUGGUUCCUCUCUAGGUUUCUUCCUAGGUUUUGGCCUUUCUAGGGAGUUUUUCCUAGCCACCGUGUUUCUACACCUGCAUUGCUUGCUGUUUGGGGUUUAGGCUGGGUUUCUGUACAGCACUUUGAGAUAUCAGCUGACGUACG